CAGGCUCGAGUCUGCGGGCCUG
rnacentral:miRNA from 17 species